rnacentral:ncRNA from 1 species
AUGAAUUGAGGGUAGAAAGGUUCCUACCGCACCUCAAAAGGUAUAUCCUACCAAAAAGAGGUACCUGAGAUGACGAGGUUACUGAACGUCCAAUUGAU